GAUGAACGCUGGCGGCGUGCUUAACACAUGCAAGUCAAACGGUCCUCGGAGCUUGGAGGCUUCGGCCAAAAAGCUCUAAAGGAUAGUGGCGGAUGGGUGAGUAGUGCCUAGGUAACCUGCCUUGAAGACGGGGAUAACAUCUCGAAAGGGAUGUUAAUACCGGAUACCCUUAUUCUCUCUGCGGGGGGAAUAAGGAAAGGGAAGCCGCAAGGCAACCGCUUUAAGAGGGGCCUCGGUCCGAUUAGCUUGUUGGUAGGGUAACGGCCUACCAAGGCGACGAUCGGUAGCUGGUCUGAGAGGAUGGUCAGCCACACUGGGACUGAGACACGGCCCAGACUCCUACGGGAGGCAGCAGUGAGGAAUAUUGGGCAAUGGGCGAAAGCCUGACCCAGCGACGCCGCGUGAGUGAUGAAGUCCUUCGGGAUGUAAAACUCUGUCAGGGGGAACGAUGAUGACGGUACCCCCAGAGGAAGCACCGGCUAACCACGUGCCAGCAGCCGCGGUAAGACGUGGGGUGCAAGCGUUAUCCGGAAUUACUGGGCGUAAAGAGCAUGUAGGCGGAAGGAUAAGUCAAAGGUGAAAGCUAUCGGCUCAACCGGUAGUCUGCCUUUGAAACUAUCCUCCUAGAGAACAGUAGAGGGAAGCGGAACUCUCGGUGUAGCGGUGAAAUGCGUAGAUAUCGAGAGGAACACCGGUGGCGAAGGCGGCUUCCUGGACUGAUUCUGACGCUGAGAUGCGAAAGCGUGGGGAGCAAACAGGAUUAGAUACCCUGGUAGUCCACGCUGUAAACGAUGGUUACUAGGUGUAGGAGGUAUCGACCCCUUCUGUGCCGGAGCUAACGCAUUAAGUAACCCGCCUGGGGAGUACGGCCGCAAGGCUAAAACUCAAAAGAAUUGACGGGGGCCCGCACAAGCGGUGGAGCAUGUGGUUCAAUUCGACGCUACGCGAAAAACCUUACCAGGGCUUGACAUCCAGCGAAUCUCCUAGAAACAGGAGAGUGCCUUCGGGAACGCUGAGACAGGUGGUGCAUGGCUGUCGUCAGUUCGUGUCGUGAGAUGUUGGGUUAAGUCCCGCAACGAACGCAACCCUUACUGGAUGUUGCCAGCGGUUCGGCCGGGAACUCAUCCGGGACUGCCUGUUGAAAACAGGAGGAAGGUGGGGAUGACGUCAAGUCAGCAUGCCCUUUAUGCCCUGGGCAACACACGUGCUACAAUGGCCUGUACAAAGGGAUGCCAACCCGCAAGGGGGAGCCAAUCCCAAAAAGCAGGCCUCAGUUCGGAUUGGAGGCUGCAACUCGCCUCCAUGAAGUUGGAAUCGCUAGUAACCGCAGAUCAGCGCGCUGCGGUGAAUACGUUCUCGGGCCUUGUACACACCGCCCGUCACACCACGAAAGCCGGAAAUGCCCGAAGCCGGUGUGCCAACCGCAAGGAGGCAGCUGUCUAAGGCAGAGUCGGUGAUUGGGGUG
rnacentral:rRNA from 1 species